UUCAUUUGUGGUUAAUUUGCAGAUAAUUGACUCGUUUACAGAUAGUGUAAUGUCUGUUUGUUUAACAAAGACUGAGAUAAUUGGUGGAAGUGUUGAUGGUACUGUUCGAACAUUUGACAUUCGUAUGGGAAGAGAGCUAUCCGAUGACUUGGGACAACCUGUGAACUGUAUCUCAAUGUCAAAUGAUGGUAACUGCAUAUUAGCACCUGCUUAGAUUCGACUAUACGACUCCUCGACAGGUCUUCCGCUGAAUUACUUCAAGAAUAUAAAGGCCAUACUUGUAAGUCUUACAAAUUGGACUGCUGCCUUACCAACACUGAUGCCCAUGUAAUCGGAGGAUCUGAGGAUGGUUCAAUUUUCUUCUGGGAUCUAGUAGAUGCAUCUGUUGUGUCAAGUAUCCGAGCACAUUCGUCAGUGGUAAAGCCUAUUUUUCAUUUACAUGAAUUGUGGUUUUCCUUUCGAAUAGUUCUGACUGCUCGUGAUAUCCCUGCUACUUUGUGUUCCUAAGUAUCCCCAAAUAAAAUACAGGAAUAAUGUGUAAUUUUUUGUUUUCUAUAAAUGCUGAUGGUUUUUUCACUUAUUUUUAGCCUCUCUUCUUUGUUCCCACUGUUGUUUUGCUCUCCAUUUGUGUUAGUUUUUUUUUUUUUUUACUUACAUUGCCAGCUUAUGAAUCUGUAUAUUUACAUGUUUUUAUUUUGAUGCACUGUCAUGAUAGACUACAUAAUGUUGGUUAGUCCUCCCUCUAUCAAAAUCCUUCCAUCCCAUGAAAAUUAACAGGACAAACCAUUUUAGAACUUGGAGAGA